rnacentral:rRNA from 1 species
UAAUACGUAGGGGGCAAGCGUUGUCCGGAAUCAUUGGGCGUAAAGCGCGUGUAAGCGGCCCGGUAAGUCCGCUGUGAAAGUCCAGGGCUCAACCCUGGAAAGCCGGUGGAUACUGUCGGGCUCGAGUCCGGAAGAGGUGAGUGGAAUUCCUGGUGUAGCGGUGAAAUGCGCAGAUAUCAGGAGGAACACCAAUGGCGAAGGCAGCUCACUGGGACGGUACUGACGCUGAGACGCGAAAGCGUGGGGAGCAAACAGGAUUAGAUACCCUGGUAGUCCACGCCGUAAACGAUGGUCACUAGGUGUGGGGGGUGUCGACUCCCUCCGUGCCGAAGCUAACGCAUUAAGUGACCCGCCUGGGGAGUACGGCCGCAAGACU